UGCCAGCAGUCGCGGUAAUACGCAGAAGACAAGCGUUAUUCAUCUUUAAUCGGUUUAAAGGGUACCUAGACGGAAAAUCAAGCCAAGUAGGGACUAAUUUUCUAGAGUUUUAUGGGAGAAAGUCGAAUAUCUGGAGUAGGGAUAGAAUAUUUUAAUACCAGAGAGACGGGCAACGGCGUAGGCAACUUUCUAUGUAAAAACUGACGUUGAGGGACGAAGCCCUGGGUAGCGAUAAGGAUUAGAUACCCCAGUAGUCCAGGGAGACAAUGAUGAAUGCCAUAGGCUAGAUAAAUUAGUCUAUAAAUGAAAGUGCAAGCAUUCCACCUCAAGACUAAAGCGGCAACGCCCAAAUUGAAAUCAUUAGACCGUUUCUGAAACCAGUAGUGAAGUAUGUUAUUUAAUUCGAUGAUCCUCGAAUAACCUUACCACGUUUUGAAUACUAUUCAAUUAAUACAAGUGUUGCACGGCUGUUUUUAGUUAAUGUCGUGAGACUUUGGUUAACUCCUUUAAUUAACGAAAACCCUUGUUUUAUUUAGAAUAAAACAGUUCUCCACUAUAUUGGAUAAGAUAAUAGGGAUUAAGGCAAGUCAUCAUGGCCUUAAUAACGUGGGCUAU
rnacentral:rRNA from 1 species